CACAAAUGGGCGGCCAUUGGAUGUGGGACACGCCAAGAACUGGCAGCCAUUGGAGAUUUGGACAACCCAAGAUGGCGGCUAUUGGUGACACAAGAUGGCGGCCAUUGGGUUUGGACACCCAAGAUGGCGGCCAUUGGUGACACAAGAUGGCGGCCAUUGGCUUUGGACACCCAAGAUGGCGGCCAUUGGAUUUGGACACCCAAGAUGGCGGCUAUUGGUGACACAAGAUGGCGGCCAUUGAACAUGGACACUCAAGAUGGCGGCAUUGAAAAUUGGAAUAUUAGCUUUGGGGACAACAAGAUGGCGGCCAUUGGUGACACAAGAUGGCGGCCAUUGGCUUUGGACACCCAAGAUGGCGGCCAUUGCCAUUGGAUAUUGGCUUUGGUGACACAAGAUGGCGGCCAUUGGCUUUGGACACCCAAGAUGGCGGCCAUUGGUGACACAAGAUGGCAGCCAUUGGCUUUGGACACUGAAGAUGGCGGCCAAUGGACCCAUCAGAAAGCCAAUAUGGUCAUAAAUUGGACCCAAUCGAGAAACCAAUUGGACCCAUCAGAACCCUUGGGACCCAUCAGAACCCAUUGGACCCAUCAGAACCAAUAUUGGGUCAGCAUUGGACCCAUCAGAACCAAUUGGACCCAUCAGAACCCAUUGGGACCCAUCAGAACCCAUUGGGACCCAUCAGAACCAAUUGGACCCAUCAGAACCAAUUGGGACCCAUCAGAACCAAUUGGACCCAUCAGAACCCAUUGGGACCCAUCAGAACCCAUUGGACCCAUCAGAACCCAUUGGGACCCAUCAGAAACCAAUAUGGGUCAGUAUAUGGGACCAUCAAACCAAUUGGACCCAUGCAGAACCAAAUUGAAACCCAUCAGAUACCCAUUGGGACCACAUCAGCAACCCAUUGGACCCGUAUUAGGGGGGGUCCCUAUAGUUUGUAGUGUUGGGCUGGGAUAUAGGGUUGUUUUAUGGGGGCGGCGGGCGGCAUAUUUUGGGGUAGAAAUGAGAAGUUGGGGUUUGUGGGGGGGGGAGGAGAUUUUGGGGGUGUUUUGUAAUAAAGAAGUGAAAGAAAUUGAGGGGUUCUUUUUUGGGGGGGGGUCUGGGACCCUAUAAAGUGG
rnacentral:lncRNA from 1 species